rnacentral:lncRNA from 1 species
CUGGUUUGCCGCUCUCUGAUUUUAUCUAAAAGCUUAUGAUGUAUUUCUUGUUGAUUUUGUUUUAUUUAUUUAUUUUCAUCUUGGUUUAUGUUAAUGUCUUUUCUUGUUUGUCAGGCAGAAGUAAGUUUUCUUGGUGACCUCAUUCAUCCCAAUCUAGUUAAACUGAUUGGUUAUUGUAUUGAAGAUGAUCAAAGGCUGCUAGUUUAUGAAUUUAUGCAAAGUCCAUUGGUGACCUCAUUCAUCCCAAUCUAGUUAAACUGAUUGGUUAUUGUAUUGAAGAUGAUCAAAGGCUGCUAGUUUAUGAAUUUAUGCCUCGAGGAAGCUUGGAGAACCAUCUGUUCAGAAGUAUGUAAUUGACCCUUUUCUAAUAUACUUUACAUUGUUUAAUCAAGACCAGGGUCGAUUUGUUAGGAGGAAGAAACUUUCUUAUUCUCCUUAGUUUCUAGUUUUUAGUUGCUUUAAUAUCAUGGGAAAAAGGUACAUUUUGUGCUAAAGGAAUAAAAAUGACUUAUUUGAGGGUAUAAAGAAUCUUGAGAAAG